rnacentral:rRNA from 1 species
AGUGAACGCUGGCGGUAGGCCUAACACAUGCAAGUCGAACGGCAGCACAGUAAGAGCUUGCUCUUACGGGUGGCGAGUGGCGGACGGGUGAGGAAUACAUCGGAAUCUACUUUUUCGUGGGGGAUAACGUAGGGAAACUUACGCUAAUACCGCAUACGACCUACGGGUGAAAGCAGGGGCUCUUCGGACCUUGCGCGAUUGAAUGAGCCGAUGUCGGAUUAGCUAGUUGGCGGGGUAAAGGCCCACCAAGGCGACGAUCCGUAGCUGGUCUGAGAGGAUGAUCAGCCAAACUGGAACAGAGACACGGUCCGGACUCCUACAGGAGGCAGCGGUUGGGAAUAUUGGACAAUGGGCGCAAGCCUGAUCCAGCCAUACCGCGUGGGUGAAGAAGGCCUUCGGGUUGUAAAGCCCUUUUGUUGGGAAGGAAAAGCAGCAUGUUAAUACCCCGCUGUUCUGACGGUACCCAAAGAAUAAGCACCGGCUAACUUCGUG